AAAAAAAGAAGAAGAGGAGAAAAAGAAGGUUUGACUUUAAAAAGCAAAUCCAUUAUAUGUAUAAUCAAAGCUAAACUGGAACCAUUAUAAAAUCAGUGUAUACUCUAUGAUAAAUGGAUCAUCACAGACUAAAAGCUGCAAAUAUUGAAAGGAGAAAAUGAUUAAAUUAAAAAAAAAAAAGAAAAAAGGUUACACAACUUUCUUAGGUACAGAACUAGGGCAGCCAGGCAGGGAGCAGGAUUCUAUGACCACUAAGUCCCAUAGAACCCUCCAUUCUGUGUUUACACUACAGUCUUAAAUUACUAAUAAACCCAUAGCAACAUCAGUAGCUUUGAGUCAGAGCUAACAGACUCAAAGUGUAGCACUACAGAUGGAUGGCCAUAGCUGAAUUAAGAAUGCAAAUGGCACCUGGGAAGCUCAAGAUACAGACUCCCUGGGUCUAAGAAUAACUGCUGAAGAUUUCUUUCUUCUCUUCCCCACACCCAGCCUGCUAUAACCUUAAACUUCUGCCUCACCAGACCUGCUCCUCACCUUGUGUCUCAGGCGUGGUGACAGAAAGAGGAAGAAAGAACAAGUUGCAACAAAACUGACUCCCACAUGUCAGGAUCCCUACUGGAUUGAAUCCCUUCUCCACAAACCAACGAUAAGCAGCCCAAUCUCUGGUUUACUGGAGGAGAGUAAGGACUUUCUGUUCACCUGUUGGACGAUUACAAAAACCAUUCAUGGAAAACGAAGGGAGAAGCAGGCAUGAGAAAAACCACCAAAAUGACCAGAUUGACUAACAUCUUGAGAUUUUUUUAAAAACCUCUUUCCAUACAGAAGGAUGUCAUUCGUCCUGUAGCACGGGGGUGAGGUGUGUAUUUCCAAGAAAGGAGAUCACAACUUCACUGGGCUCCCGAUACACUCAGCUAUCGAAUCUACAGUGGACUCUUGAAUUCAAAAGUUCGUCCCAAGGUCUAACCUCCAGCCUCUGUUUUGGCCAAGUAAGCCCUCAUCCCUU